GACGAACCGUGCGAACGUUGUUCGGAAUCACUGGGCUUAAAGGGCGCGUAGGCGGGCUGGUAAGUCAGGGGUGAAAGCCCACGGCCCAACCGUGGAAGUGCCUUUGAUACUGCCAGUCUCGAGGGAGGUAGGGGCGUGCGGAACUUCCGGUGGAGCGGUGAAAUGCGUAGAUAUCGGGAGGAACAUCAGUGGCGAAGGCGGCUAUCUGGUCCAACACUGACACUGAGACACGAAAGCGUGGGGAGCAAACAGG
rnacentral:rRNA from 1 species